UCCCUGGUGGCUCAGACGGUAAAGCGUCUGCCCGCAAUGCAGGAGACCCGGGUUCGAUCCCCAGGUAGGUAA
rnacentral:tRNA from 1 species